UGUGUGUGUGUGUGUGUGUGUGUGUGUGUGUGUGUGCGUUCACACAGGAUUAUAACUUCCAGCUGUACACGCUGCAGCUCCAGAUGACCCGGAGCCAGAGAGAUAGAACAUCUAAUGUCCUCAAUCGAUCAAUACGAUCAAUACGCUCAGUGUCCAUUGGGACAAGACGUCUUCCUCCACAAACUCAGACUGGAACCGGGACCAGUAUCCUGCCUGAGAUCAACUACAGCCGGCAGGUCCUGCUCGUCGCCUGGCUCCGUGCCGUCUCACCCGUCUCACCUGUCCCACCUGCUGAGACGUGAGCAGGAGGAGGCCAAAGGUGAAGAUGCCUCCGAUCGUAGACGCUGCAGGACCUCCACAUAUCUUUUAUGAUCAGUUGGACUCUCGCUUCGUGAUGGAGGAGGAACAGGGACAUGUUUGUCCCUUUGAAUGGUGGGAAACCACUGGAGGUGAUGCUGUACUUCAGUGUGGACGUACAUCUGCUCUCACUGCUGUCACAGGUCAGACAUAAAGGCAAUCAAAACAAGAUGUGCACGUGUUCUUGAGGACAAUGAUGCUCUACUGGCUGCUGCAACACAAGUUCAAGUUCCGUUGGCUGCGUGACCCGGAGAGGAAGGACCUGGUAAAAGCAAGUCGAGUAGCAGAAUGCAGAAAACAUGUCCCAGAGCAGGAGGAGCACCCAGGGGAAACGGCAGCAUCAUGCCGGCCAUCUACCAAAGAGGACGACGCCUACGUCUCUGCUGAAAAUCAACCAGGAGCCACAAGGACGGACGCUGUGAAUCAGUUUCCAUUAAUAAAGAAAGUAUCACUUAAAUAUGAUGCAACCUCUGAUUCUCUCUCCAAAGAGGAAUCGGCUCUCAGAUCUAAUGUUGGAGAAGCUUCUCCUCUUGAGGUCAAUUACUGGUUUGAGAGCGAACAAUGUUCUCCUGGUCAGAGGUGAGACUUGUCAGCUCAUUUUAACGCUUGUUGAGAAUCUCAUCUAUUUUUAACUUUCUUUCUAUUUAACUUUUCCUUGCGAGGAAAGUUUGUUAAACCUGUUUGUUUUG
ensembl:lncRNA